rnacentral:rRNA from 1 species
UACGUAGGGUGCGAGCGUUAAUCGGAAUUACUGGGCGUAAAGCGUGCGCAGGCGGUUCGCCAAGUCAGGUGUGAAAUCCCCGGGCUUAACCUGGGAAUUGCGCUUGAAACUAGCGGGCUUGAGUGCGGCAGAGGGGGGUGGAAUUCCACGUGUAGCAGUGAAAUGCGUAGAGAUGUGGAGGAACACCGAUGGCGAAGGCAGCCCCCUGGGUCGACACUGACGCUGAGGAGCGAAAGCCAGGGGAGCAAACGGG